rnacentral:lncRNA from 1 species
ACUCAUCUUUCACCCCACAACCCAUUUCCAGCUCCUCUAGACGUUGGAUCCAUCACUUUAGGAAUCCUUCGAGUCUCACAUUCAAUUCCUAACUCAAGCCUUCCUGUAGCAGCUUCAUUUUCACAAAUCCAGAACUAGCUCACAAGACCUCAGUCCUCACACACCUUGAGCGCCCCACUCAAUCCAUCCACUCCCGUCCUACGUAUUUAAUGCUCAAUAGAGAGUUCUCCAAAAGCCUCAGCUCCCUGACCGUUGCUGCACCAGCAGCCUCCCCUCCUAGGCUUUAACCUCGACCGACACCCAUAAUUACAAACCCAUCUCACUUCUUUUUUUUUGCUUUUUCUUUUUUCGUUCUUGGAACAAAAGACAACAUCUAUUUAUCAUUCAAGAGAGAAGCACAUGGGUAUUCUUCCAACAGUAGAGACUCAAAUUCAACUCUAAACUGAAGAGGCAAUUAGACCCAAUACACUCUCUGCAGGUUCCUAUCAAUCCCAUUCAUAUGGAAGCGCCAACUCAAUCUCAUGUCGCAGAACCUGGAAGUCCCAGAACUGUCAUCCGUCCUCUUCUUCCCAACCGAAUGCUCUCAAUACUAAAUUAGCAUACCCAGCUUGAAGAUAUCAUAGAACCCAUCAUGAAUGAUUACUGGAGUUUGAUUUUGUGUCUAUAGAUUGAAUAAAUUGAUGUUAGGGUUGCUCGUGUGCUUUCUCCCAUGAUUAUCACACUAAUGGCUUUCACUUUCUCUACCUCAACUAAGAGCCUCAAUCUGCAAAUUAGAGAUUAUGUGAGCUUAAUUUUUAAUUAAUGG